GUGGUUCCUAAAUGAGAUUUGUUAAUUUGGUUUGCAUUCCCCCAUCUUUAGGAGUACUAGCAUCAUUUUACAACUUUACAGGUCAUUUAUAGUUCUUCUUUUGAGAAUUGCCUUGUCAUACUCUUUUCCUAUUCUUUUUUUGGAAGAUUAGUUUUUUCUUAUUAGUUCGUAAGAAUUAAUAUACACCAUUUUAGAGAUACUGACCCUUUAUCCAAUGUGUUGAAGAUAUUUCUCCUCAUUUGUUAUUAUUUACAUUUGGCACCUUUUGGUGAAUUCAACUUUGAAAAAAAAACAAUAAAAGCUAUCAAUUUUUCUAGGGUGUCUAGUUUGAUGUCAGGCUUAGAAAGGCCAAUCUCACCUAGAAUUUCUAUGCAAUUCAUCAUCGUUUAAGUCUAAUGAUUUUCUAUUUAUUACAACUAAAUCACUAUUUGUAACUAGUAAGGUAGAAAUGCAACAAUAUUUGUUUCCAUGUGGUAAGUCAAUACCAAAAAGAGAACUUAUUUAAUAACUGACUAUUUCCUUGUGGGUAUUAACAUAUCACUUUAUCACAUGAUAAAAUAUUACAUACAUGCAGCUCUCUUUCUGGAUUUUCCACUGUGUUCCAUGAAUCUUGUCAUUCUAGUGCCAGUAUUGCCCUCUCUUCAGCACUGUAGCUUUAUAGUUCUUUUCACAUUCUGAUGAAGUUUCUCUCAUUAUUUUUUUGUUUUAAGAAUUUUCUGUGCAUUCUAGUGUGAUCUCAAUCCUCUCCCUUCCCAUUUUUAAACCGUGAGACUUCUGUCCAGCAAGACUUUUUCACGCUCCAAGGCAGGCAAGCUUCCCUCCUUCACAAGGACCCGAGAACUCAGCUUUCAGAGCUGUUCCUGUGGAAGCCUCAUGUCCUGCACGUGUGCUCCAGAGGCAGAGGGAGACCAACCGGAGCCCCCUCCCUUUCUCAUUCCCACCUGUCAUUCCCAGCUGUGAAGACAGCAGAAACCGAACUCUGUGAGCUAGGCCAAUACCACAACUGAGAGGAAUAUUGUUCUACAUCUCAUUAUGCAUCUUUCAAACAUGUGUCUCUAUAUACUUCUUACAGAGGUGGUGAUAAUCUGUGUAUGCCUUACUGAAUUUUCACAAUUAUAUUACUGUACUUCCUUUGUCCCCUAUAUUUCCAUCUGUGAAUCCAGGUGUACUGCAGAUCUCAGUCCCCUUUCUGAGGGUAGGGCUGACAAAUAAAAUAUACAAUACCAAACAAUUUGGAAGUUCAGGUAAACAACAAGUUUUUAGUUUAAGUAUGUUCCAAAUAUUGCAUGAUCCUCAGUUCUUUUAUUUUUAUUAUUUCUUUAUUUAUUUAUAUUUAUUAUACUUUAAGUGCUAGGGUACAUUUGCACAACGUGCAGGUUUGUUACAUAUGUAUACAUGUGCCAUGUUGGUUUGUUGCACCCAUCAACUUGUCAUCUACAUUAGGUAUAUCUCCUAAUGCUAUCCCU
rnacentral:lncRNA from 10 species